AAUGGGCGAAAGCCUGAUCCAGCAAUGCCGCGUGAGUGAUGAAGGCCUUAGGGUUGUAAAGCUCUUUUACCAGGGAUGAUAAUGACAGUACCUGGAGAAUAAGCUCCGGCUAACUCCGUGCCAGCAGCCGCGGUAAUACGGAGGGAGCUAGCGUUGUUCGGAAUUACUGGGCGUAAAGCGCACGUAGGCGGCGAUCCAAGUCAGGGGUGAAAUCCCGGGGCUCAACCCCGGAACUGCCCUUGAAACUAGGUUGCUAGAAUACUGGAGAGGUGAGUGGAAUUCCGAGUGUAGAGGUGAAAUUCGUAGAUAUUCGGAAGAACACCAGUGGCGAAGGCGACUCACUGGACAGUUAUAGACGCUGAGGUGCGAAAGCGUGGGGAGCAAACAGGAUU
rnacentral:rRNA from 1 species